CGGGGUGAUUUUUUAUAAAAUAUAGUGUACUUAAAUAUUAUAAACAAUAUACAUUUUGUUAUCAAUAAUUUUUUUUACAUUUGAUUAGAGGUGGACAUUCGAGCACCGUUUGAUUUGAUUCGGAUCCUUGGGGGUUUAGUUCGGUUCAGAUCUUUGUGGGUUUGGUUCGAGUUUGGGUUCAGAUAACCUAUUUAAAUUAUUUUCAAAAAUUAGAGUUAAUAUAUACUUUAAAUUUUUCAAAAAAAAACAAAUAAAUUUGAAUAAUGUAUGCCAAAAUACUGAAAUUUAACAUAAAAAUUGGUUAGCUUAAAUAUUUGGAUAGGAAAUCAAUAUAUAUUUUAGGUAUUAUAAGAAUCUUUUAGUUAUUUUU
rnacentral:lncRNA from 1 species